GACGUAGGGCGCGAGCGUUGUCCGGAAUUAUUGGGCGUAAAGAGCUCGUAGGUGGCUUGUUGCGUCUGCCGUGAAAGCCCGUGGCUUAACUGCGGGUCUGCGGUGGAUACGGGCAGGCUAGAGGCUGGUAGGGGCAAGCGGAAUUCCUGGUGUAGCGGUGAAAUGCGCAGAUAUCAGGAGGAACACCAAUUGCGAAGGCAGCUCGCUGGGACGCUACUGACGCUGAGACGCGAAAGCGUGGGGAGCAAACAGG
rnacentral:rRNA from 1 species